UACGGAGGAUGCGAGCGUUAUCCGGAUUUAUUGGGUUUAAAGGGUGCGUAGGCGGCCUGCCAAGUCAGCGGUAAAAUUGCGGGGCUCAACCCCGUACAGCCGUUGAAACUGCCGGGCUCGAGUGGGCGAGAAGUAUGCGGAAUGCGUGGUGUAGCGGUGAGAUGCAUAGAUAUCACGCAGAACCCCGAUUGCGAAGGCAGCAUACCGGCGCCCGACUGACGCUGAGGCACGAAAGUGCGGGGAUCAAACAGG
rnacentral:rRNA from 1 species